GGCAGGGAUGCCUAGUGGAUAGAGCACUGGUCUGUGACUCAGGAGAUCUGGGUUAUAUUCCCAGCUCUGCCA
rnacentral:tRNA from 1 species